CAGGCCAGGAGAAGAACCUCAACGGGGUCUGCUGGUGUCUGUGUCAGCACACCUGGACCAGGUCAUAACAUGGUCACCACCAAUGUCUCAGUCUCUGGAGAGGUCCCUCGUCUCACUGACAUGCACCCAGAGCCCACCAGCCUCUCCUGCCUAUGCAAAUCCAUUUGGCCAAAACAACCUGAGAAAACUAGAAUUAUUUGCAAGAAUCACUGCAAAGGAGUUCAAGCAUGGAAGAAUCAUUAUUCAUAAUUUGCUGCCUAUGCCUAUGGCUGGGCCUCAAGGGCUAGUAAGCAUUGCCCCUUUCUUCACUGCCUGAGAUGGGAACCAGUCAUGCAACACACAAGACAGAAAAACGGAGAUGAAAAUAUUACCUGCAUUUAUGGUAAAAAACAGUUCUACAGUACAACUUUAGAUCUGCUAAGAGAAGAGCUUGUUAACACUCA
rnacentral:lncRNA from 1 species